rnacentral:rRNA from 1 species
UACGGGAGGCAGCAGUGGGGAAUAUUGCACAAUGGGCGAAAGCCUGAUGCAGCUAUGCCGCGUGUAUGAAGAAGGCCUUAGGGUUGUAAAGUACUUUCAUCGGGGAGGAAAAAACAAAACUAAUAAUUUUAUUUCUUGACGUUACUCGAAAAAGAAGCACCGGCUAACUCCGUGCCAGCAGCCGCGGUAAUACGGAGGGUGCUAGCGUUAAUCAGAAUUACUGGGCGUAAAGAGCACGUAGGUGGUUUUUUAAGUCAGAUGUGAAAUCCCUGGGCUUAACCUAGGAACUGCAUUUUGAAACUGAAAUACUAGAGUAUCGUAGAGGGAGGUAGAAUUCUAGGUGUAGCGGUGAAAUGCGUAGAUAUCUGGAGGAAUACCUGUGGCGAAAGCGGCCUCCUAAACGAAUACUGACACUGAGGUGCGAAAGCGUGGGGAGCAAACAGGGAUUAGAUACC